GGUCUUGUGCUCAAUGGAAGCCUCUGUUAAAUGGUACAGAUGAUCCAGGUUCGAAUCCUGGCGAGGCCA